GUGGGGAAUUUUGGACAAUGGGGGCAACCCUGAUCCAGCCAUGCCGCGUGCGGGAAGAAGGCCUUCGGGUUGUAAACCGCUUUUGUCAGGGAAGAAAUCCUUUGGGUUAAUACCUCGGAGGGAUGACGGUACCUGAAGAAUAAGCACCGGCUAACUACGUGCCAGCAGCCGCGGUAAUACGUAGGGUGCGAGCGUUAAUCGGAAUUACUGGGCGUAAAGCGUGCGCAGGCGGUUUUGUAAGACAGGCGUGAAAUCCCCGGGCUCAACCUGGGAAUUGCGCUUGUGACUGCAAGGCUGGAGUGCGGCAGAGGGGGAUGGAAUUCCGCGUGUAGCAGUGAAAUGCGUAGAUAUGCGGAGGAACACCGAUGGCGAAGGCAAUCCCCUGGGCCUGCACUGACGCUCAUGCACGAAAGCGUGGGGAGCAAACAGGAUUAGAAACCCCAGUAGUCC
rnacentral:rRNA from 1 species